AGGUGUUGUUGGGUAGGGGAGCGUUCUGUAAGCCUGCGAAGGUGGCCUGUGAGGGUUGCUGGAGGUAUCAGAAGUGCGAAUGCUGACAUAAGUAACGAUAAAGCGGGUGAAAAGCCCGCUCGCCGGAAGACCAAGGGUUCCUGUCCAACGUUAAUCGGGGCAGGGUGAGUCGACCCCUAAGGCGAGGCCGAAAGGCGUAGUCGAUGGGAAACGGGUUAAUAUUCCCGUACUUGGUGUUACUGCGAAGGGGGGACGGAGAAGGCUAUGUUGGCCGGGCGACGGUUGUCCCGGUUUAAGCGUGUAGGUGUGUGUUCCAGGUAAAUCCGGUUCACUUUAACACUGAGGCGUGACGACGAGGCACUACGGUGCUGAAGCAACAAAUGCCCUGCUUCCAGGAAAAGCCUCUAAGCAUCAGGUAACAUCAAAUCGUACCCCAAACCGACACAGGUGGUCAGGUAGAGAAUACCAAGGCGCUUGAGAGAACUCGGGUGAAGGAACUAGGCAAAAUGGUGCCGUAACUUCGGGAGAAGGCACGCUGACA
rnacentral:rRNA from 1 species